ACGGCUCAGUAACACGUAGAUAAUUUGCCCUUUAGGUGGAGGAUACCCUCGGGAAACUGAGAAUAAUACUCCAUAGAUCUAGACUGCUGGAAUGCUUUUAGAUUGAAAGAUUUAUCGCCUAAGGAUAAGUCUGCGGACUAUCAGGUUGUAGUUAGGGUAAAUACCUGACUAGCCUACGACGGAUACGGGUAGUGAGAGCUUUAGCCCGGAGAUGAUAUCUGAGACACGAUAUCAGGCCCUACGGGGCGCAGCAGGCGCGAAAACUUCGCACUGUGCGAAAGCACGACGAGGGAAUCCCAAGUGCUGGCUCGUAAGAGUCAGCUGUUUCUCUGUCUAAAAAACAGGGGGAGUAAGAGCUGGGUAAGACGGGUGCCAGCCGCCGCGGUAAUACCUGCAGCUCAAGUGGUGGCCGCUAUUAUUGGGCCUAAAACGUCCGUAGCCGGUUCUAUAAAUGCCUGGGUAAAUCGUACGGCUUAACCGUACGAAUUCCGGGUAGACUGUUCAACUUGGGACCGGGAGAGGCUAGAGGUACUCCUGGGGUAGAGGUGAAAUUCUGUAAUCCUAGGGGGACCACCAGUGGCGAAGGCGUCUAGCUAGAACGGGUCUGACGGUGAGGGACGAAGCCCUGGGGAGCAAACGGGAUUAGAUACCCCGGUAGUCCAGGGUGUAAACGCUGCUCGCUUGAUGUUAGUCGGGCUCCGAGCCCAACUAGUG
rnacentral:rRNA from 1 species